UGGGGAAUCUUCCGCAAUGGGCGAAAGCCUGACGGAGCAACGCCGCGUGAGGGACGAAGGCCUCUGGGCUGUAAACCUCUUUUCUCAAGGAAGAAGAUAUGACGGUACUUGAGGAAUAAGCCACGGCUAAUUCCGUGCCAGCAGCCGCGGUAAUACGGGAGUGGCAAGCGUUAUCCGGAAUUAUUGGGCGUAAAGCGUCCGCAGGCGGCUUUUCAAGUCUGCUGUUAAAACGUGGAGCUUAACUCCAUCAUGGCAGUGGAAACUGAAAGGCUUGAGUAUGGUAGGGGCAGAGGGAAUUCCCGGUGUAGCGGUGAAAUGCGUAGAUAUCGGGAAGAACACCAGUGGCGAAGGCGCUCUGCUGGGCCAUUACUGACGCUCAUGGACGAAAGCCAGGGGAGCGAAAGGGAUUAGAUACCCCUGUAGUC
rnacentral:rRNA from 1 species